rnacentral:lncRNA from 1 species
AAUCAUCUUCUCUCCCCCCAUUCUUCACUCAAAUAAAACUUCUUUUUCAAUAAGUAGGCAAUAAAAGUAAAGCGUAGAAAUAAACUUAGGAGAACGGUUCUUAUGGAAUACCAUAAUCGUUCCGGGUGCCUAACACCUUCCCGUAGCGAAAACGACCCCCGAACUUAGACUCUAAGGGUUUUUUUCUCAAUUUUGCCCUUCCCAAGAAAAAAUAGAGAAUAUCAAAGAUUGAAAGGUUCAAGCCUAAUUAAUGACUUGACACCCGAAAAUCGUGAUAACAG